GGUGUUCUCUUGUGAUCGUGACUGGCACAAGCUGCGUCCUUCUGCAGAAGUAAAUUUGCCUUGCUGAGAAAAUUUCUGUUUGAGUGCUAUUUCUUUUGCAGCACCAAAACUUAUUUCUAACAAAUUUGGGGGCCUGUGUGGGAUUCCCAUUCUCCUCUGGGGAAGGGUCCGGUCCUCUCCCAUGAGGAGGCACAUCCUGCUGCCUCAUUGCGGUAGCCUCAGGGGUAAGGAAUCGAGACUCACUCAGUGUGAUGAAUAAACCUGGACUCUCAGCAACACAGGAAGAAACAGACCAACAACUUUGAAAAAAGAAAAAAAAAAGACUCAAGGCAUUCUAGCCCAGACUCCACCUCUUGAAUUUCCAGUUCACCACCACCAGCCUGGAGAUCACGUCCUCAUCAGGAGUUGGAAAGAAAGGAGGCUCAAGCCCACUUGGGAAGGACCUUUUUUAGUGCUCUUAACAACUAAGACAGCAGUUCAGACCACCAAGAAGGGCUGGGCUCAUCACACUCGAGUUAAGUGGGCACCACCCUUCCCAGAAUCAUGGACCAUUGUUCCAGGACCAACUCCUGCCAAGCUAAGGCUAAAGUGGUUUAACCCUCUUAUUCUGUAUUUCUUUCCUUCCCCCUUCUAUCACUAAUCCCCUUAUCAUUAAUGUAACCAAGUCAAGCUCACCCCAAACUAUUACCUUUGAUGCUUGCCUUGUUAUACCCUGCAGAGAUUUGUCAAGUCAAAAGCAACUCUCCACCUCAGAAAAGUAUCUCUGUCCUUCCUGGCUGUCCUCAGAUUGGGCAUUUGUUAACUGGGAUAAAUUAGUUUGGGAAGAGUUUGACGAAGAUUCCAAUAUGAACUGGGAAUCUAGUCCUCUUAGAGCAGAGCUUCUCUGCCGAAGUUGGUCCAAUGUUCUAUGAAAUACUAAAGGGCAAGGAUGACCUCCCCAACUAGUACUUACAGUUUCUUAAAACCAUAUAUUCAUUUUACUAAAGGGAUUACCCCUCCCAAUUGUCAGCUGAACCAAUGUAAUCCAGCACAGAUUACUAUCUGUGCUCCCCAGAGUUCUUCCCCUUCAUUAAGCCAUUUCUAUGGUAUAGGAGCAUAAGUCUCAGGGAAGGACCCCAUAGGAUCCUUUGAAAUGUGCUUCACUGCUUCCCCACCUCCUGCAUCCCCUUCUCGCUCUCCUAAGUUCUCUGCUAACCAAACCUUUUCUCAUUAUAUACCCAAUGAUAAAACCAGAGUAGCUGUUGUAGAGGUUAAAGAUUUAAAACAAAUUAUAGCAAUUGAAACAGGGUAUCAGGACGCAAAUGCUUGGCUGGAAUGGAUUAAAUAUUCUGUUCACAUGCUAAACAAAAGCAACUGUUACUCUUGUGCAACAGGCAGGCCAGAGACCCACAUUGUCCCCUUUCCACUUGGGCGGUCCUGUCACCGAGGAGGCAUGAGCUGUAUGAUAGCCCUCUUCCAGAACCCCAUAGCCUGAGGCGAUGAGUCAUGCAAGACUCUUUCACUGCUGUUCCCUGAGGUCAAGAGCCCUGCAGGUCAGCCCCUGAGGGCCAUCCGGCCUCCAGCUCCUAAUAUUAACUUCACCUCGUGCCUUUCACAGCAGGGGGAAACGUUUGCAUUCCUUGGAGACUUAACAGGGUGCAGUGAUACCAAGCCUUUUCAAGAGCUUACCAAUCAGUCUGCCCUUGUUCAUCCCUGAACGAAUGUGUGGUGGUAUUGCGGAGGACUAUUGUUGGGUACUCUGCCAAUUCACUGGAGUGGCACUUACGCUCUAAUUCAACUGGCUAUCCCUUUCAUCUUGGCACUUCAUCAACCAAGAAAGUUGAAAACAGAAUGUCAUAAAAAGAGAGAUGUCUCUCAAGGAUCCUUUGAUCCUCAUGUUUAUAUAGAUGCUAUUGGAGUACCACAAGGGUUACCAGAUGAAUUCAAAGCCUGAAAUCAAAUAGCUGCAGGAUUCAAGUCUAUAUUGUUCUGGUGGUCAACUGUAAACAAGAAUGUAGCUUAGAUAAAUUAUGUCUAUUAUAAUCAACAACACUGUGUUAAUUAUACUAGAUAUACUAUUAAAGGAAUACUUGAACAAUUAGGCCCUACCAGCCAAAUGGCCUGGGAAAAUAGAAUAGCCCUUGACAUGAUAU
rnacentral:lncRNA from 1 species